rnacentral:rRNA from 1 species
CGCGGCCUAUCAGCUUGUUGGUGAGGUAACGGCUCACCAAGGCAUCGACGGGUAGCUGGUCUGAGAGGACGAUCAGCCACACUGGGACUGAGACACGGCCCAGACUCCUACGGGAGGCAGCAGUAGGGAAUCCUGCGCAAUGGGCGAAAGCCUGACGCAGCAACGCCGCGUGGGGGAUGAAUGCCUUCGGGUUGUAAACCCCUUUCAGCAGGGACGAAAAUGACGGUACCUGCAGAAGAAGCUCCGGCCAACUACGUGCCAGCAGCCGCGGUAAUACGUAGGGAGCGAGCGUUGUCCGGAAUUAUUGGGCGUAAAGAGCUCGUAGGCGGUUCAGUAAGUCGGGUGUGAAAACUCAAGGCUCAACCUUGAGACGCCACUCGAUACUGCUGUGACUUGAGUCCGGUAGAGGAGUGUGGAAUUCCUGGUGUAGCGGUGAAAUGCGCAGAUAUCAGGAGGAACACCAGCGGCGAAGGCGGCACUCUGGGCCGGUACUGACGCUGAGGAGCGAAAGCAUGGGGAGCAAACAGGAUUAGAUACCCUGGUAGUCCAUGCCGUAAACGUUGGGCACUAGGUAUGGGAUCAUAUCAACGGAUUCCGUGCUGUAGCUAACGCAUUAAGUGCCCCGCCUGGGGAGUACGG